rnacentral:rRNA from 1 species
AUUGAACGCUGGCGGCAGGCCUAACACAUGCAAGUCGAGCGAGUGGCGGACGGGUGAGUAAUGUCUGGGGAACUGCCCGAUGGAGGGAGAUAACUACUGGAAACGGUAGCUAAUACCGCAUACCAUCGGAUGUACCCAUAUGGGAUUAGCUAGUGGGUGGGGUAAAGGCUCACCUAGGCGACGAUCUCUAGCUGGUCUGAGAGGAUGACCAGCCACACUGGAACUGAGACACGGUCCAGACUCCUACGGGAGGCAGCAGUGGGGAAUAUUGCACAAUGGGCGCAAGCCUGAUGCAGCCAUGCCGCGUGUAUGAAGAAGGCCUUCGGUUUGUAAAGUACUUUCAGCGGGGAGGCGUUACCCGCAGAAGAAGCACCGGCUAACUCCGUGCCAGCAGCCGCGGUAAUUC